AUCUAAUAGAUUUGGCGGUAUCCGUUACUUGUUAGAGGAACUUGCUUUAAUAAAUCGAUGAUCCUCGAAAAAUCUUACCUUUACUGGUAUAUUCAGUUUGUAUACCGUCAUAGAUGUAAUUUUUAUAAAAUUAUAAUUAUUUAGGUAAUUGGUGAUAAUAAGACAUUAGAUCAAGGUGCAGCUUAUGUAAAGGGUAAAGUUAGUUACAGUAUAUUUUUAUAGGUAGUGGAUGAAAAUAAUAAUUUAUUUUUGAAAGUGGAUUUGAUUGUAAUUUAAAUUUUAAUAAGGUAAGUUGAUAAUAGUUCUGGGAUAUGU
rnacentral:rRNA from 1 species